rnacentral:rRNA from 1 species
UGUGUAGGCCGCUUUUUAAGUUUGGUGUGAAAUCUCCCGGCUCAACCGGGAGGGUGCGCCGAAUACUGAAGGGCUAGAGUGCGGGAGAGGAGAGUGGAAUUCCUGGUGUAGCGGUGAAAUGCGUAGAUAUCAGGAGGAACACCGGUGGUGUAGACGGCUCUCUGGACCGUAACUGACGCUGAGACACGAAAGCGUGGGUAGCAAACAGGAUUAGAUACCCUGGUAGUCCACGCCCUAAACGAUGCAUAUUUGGUGUGGGUCAUUCAGUUGAUCCGUGCCGGAGCUAACGCGUUAAAUAUGCCGCCUGGGGAGUACAGUCGCAAGGCUGAA